UACGGAGGGUGCAAGCGUUGUCCGGAUUUAUUGGGUUUAAAGGGUGCGUAGGCGGUCUUUUAAGUCAGUGGUGAAAUCCUGCAGCUCAACUGUGGAACAGCCAUUGAUACUGAAAGACUUGAGUACAGACGAGGUAGGCGGAAUUUAUGGUGUAGCGGUGAAAUGCAUAAAUACCAUAAAGAACCCCUAUUGCGAAGGCAGCUUACUAGGCUGUAACUGACGCUGAGGCACGAAAGCGUGGGGAUCAAACAGG
rnacentral:rRNA from 1 species